CAAAUAUGCUACCAUUAUCUAAGGGGCAAAAAAAAUAUAUAUUAUUUAGUCAAAAUAAUACAAUAAUAUGAUGAUGUAUAUAUAAAUAAUAAUAAAAAAAGAAAGCAUAUGGGGUUAUAACCCCUGACAGACUUACGAGAAGUGAGCACUAUUUGGUACUUUGAAUUUCCAGAGAGAUACAUAUAAUAUAUAUAUGCUUCUUGUUGCUGAUGCUGCCGCCUCUUGAUCUGAUGAAUGAUUACAUAAGCUUUUUAAUUUGGACUCUCUCUUAAUCUCAUUGCUCAUGGAGACUUAAGCUUUAAUUUCAUGAUGCUAAUAAUAAUAGGAUACUAAAGUCAGAAAAUAAUGUAUCCCUAUGCUUCCAUGGUGGUGGUGGUGGUUGUGGUGGUGGAAUCAGCCUUGCGGAGAGAACACAGGAUGAGAACAACCUCUUCCACCACCAGUAGCAGUAGUUGUUGUUGUUGUAGUUCCUUCUCUCCAUUCUCUUUCUUUCUAUCUCUUCUUUCUCUCUCUCUUUUCUCUUUCUCUUUCUCUUUCUCU
rnacentral:lncRNA from 1 species